rnacentral:rRNA from 1 species
GACGAACGCUGGCGGCGUGCUUAACACAUGCAAGUCGAACGGAAAGGCCCUGCUUUUGUGGGGUGCUCGAGUGGCGAACGGGUGAGUAACACGUGAGUAACCUGCCCUUGACUUUGGGAUAACUUCAGGAAACUGGGGCUAAUACCGGAUAGGAGCUCCUGCUGCAUGGUGUGGGUUGGAAAGUUUCGGCGGUUGGGGAUGGACUCGCGGCUUAUCAGCUUGUUGGUGGGGUAGUGGCUUACCAAGGCUUUGACGGGUAGCCGGCCUGAGAGGGUGACCAGCCACAUUGGGACUGAGAUACGGCCCAGACUCCUACGGGAGGCAGCAGUGGGGAAUAUUGCACAAUGGGCGGAAGCCUGAUGCAGCAACGCCGCGUGCGGGAUGACGGCCUUCGGGUUGUAAACCGCUUUCGCCUGUGACGAAGCGUGAGUGACGGUAAUGGGUAAAGAAGCACCGGCUAACUACGUG